rnacentral:rRNA from 1 species
CGGGACACGUGGUAUCCUGUCUGAAUAUGGGGGGACCAUCCUCCAAGGCUAAAUACUCCUGACUGACCGAUAGUGAACCAGUACCGUGAGGGAAAGGCGAAAAGAACCCCGGCGAGGGGAGUGAAAAAGAACCUGAAACCGUGUACGUACAAGCAGUGGGAGCACGCUUAGGCGUGUGACUGCGUACCUUUUGUAUAAUGGGUCAGCGACUUAUAUUCUGUAGCAAGGUUAACCGAAUAGGGGAGCCGAAGGGAAACCGAGUCUUAACUGGGCGUUAAGUUGCAGGGUAUAGACCCGAAACCCGGUGAUCUAGCCAUGGGCAGGUUGAAGGUUGGGUAACACUAACUGGAGGACCGAACCGACUAAUGUUGAAAAAUUAGCGGAUGACUUGUGGCUGGGGGUGAAAGGCCAAUCAAACCGGGAGAUAGCUGGUUCUCCCCGAAAGCUAUUUAGGUAGCGCCUCGUGAAUUCAUCUCCGGGGGUAGAGCACUGUUUCGGCAAGGGGGUCAUCCCGACUUACCAACCCGAUGCAAACUGCGAAUACCGGAGAAUGUUAUCACGGGAGACACACGGCGGGUGCUAACGUCCGUCGUGAAGAGGGAAACAACCCAGACCGCCAGCUAAGGUCCCAAAGUCAUGGUUAAGUGGGAAACGAUGUGGGAAGGCCCAGACAGCCAGGAUGUUGGCUUAGAAGCAGCCAUCAUUUAAAGAAAGCGUAAUAGCUCACUGGUCGAGUCGGCCUGCGCGGAAGAUGUAACGGGGCUAAACCAUGCACCGAAGCUGCGGCAGCGACGCUUAUGCGUUGUUGGGUAGGGGAGCGUUCUGUAAGCCUGCGAAGGUGUGCUGUGAGG